AUCGGUCUGUGCUAGAAUUCCUUGUAGAAAAAUUCGGUAAAAGGGCUGAUAUAUAGUGUAUUCGGUUUUGUGUUCUGGAUCCCUGAUUCUGCACAUUUCAGAGAUGUUAAGGCUGGCUUCUUGUACUCGGAAAAGAAGAAUGGCAGCCUAGGUUGAGUAAGUGAUGUUGUGAUUAAAUUUAACAUGAGCAGUUAGAAAAUUUUGGCAUAAUUUUAAGAAUUUCAGAUUCCUACAGCAGUUUUAGGAAGGGAAUUCAUUGAAGAAAAAUCCAGUUAAAAGGAAUAAAGAGAUUUGAGGUAAUAUAUUCUAGUUAUUUUAUAGGUUUUAUGAUUGUCUUAUAGAUCAAUAUGUAAUGGUAAAAGUCUAAAGAAGUGUAUAUCAAUGGAAAUGUUAGGAUUCAUCAGGUAUAUAUGCAGAGAGGUGAAUUGGAGAUAGUUUAUCAAAGAAGAAGAGUGAGAGGUGAAAGAACUGAGGCGGAAAAUCAUCAAAGAGGAAAGGGAAAAGAGAAGAUCCUAGCAGAUUAAAUUGACAAGUAUUCCAUAAGUUAUGUUAUGUUAGUUUUUAUCCUUAUUUAAUGUUUAAACUUGAGGUAGGUAAUAUAACCAAUAAUGUAUUACUUUGAAGUUUUGUAGUGGAUAUGUAAGUAUCUUAAGUUAAAAAUUUAUAGUUACUAGUUGCUUCCGUUUUGAUAAGAUGAAUGAGAACUUUUAAAUGUUUUAUAAAAA